rnacentral:rRNA from 1 species
GACGAACGCUGGCGGCGUGCUUAACACAUGCAAGUCGAACGGAAAGGCCCUGCUUUUGUGGGGUGCUCGAGUGGCGAACGGGUGAGUAACACGUGAGUAACCUGCCCUUGACUUUGGGAUAACUUCAGGAAACUGGGGCUAAUACCGGAUAGGAGCUCCUGCUGCAUGGUGGGGGUUGGAAAGUUUCGGCGGUUGGGGAUGGACUCGCGGCUUAUCAGCUUGUUGGUGGGGUAGUGGCUUACCAAGGCUUUGACGGGUAGCCGGCCUGAGAGGGUGACCGGCAACAUGGGGACGGGAAUACGGCCGAGGCCCCGACGGGAGGGAGCGGGGGGGAAUAUGGCACAAGGGGCGGAAGCCGGAGGAAGAAACCCCGUGGGCGGGAUGACGGCCUUCGGGUUGUAAACCUCUUGCGCCGGGGAGGAAGCGUGGGGGAGGGGAAGGGGUAAAGAAGCAGGGGCUAAAUACGU